rnacentral:misc_RNA from 1 species
GAUGAAGAACGCAGCGAAAUGCGAUAAGUAAUGUGAGUUGCAGAAUUCAGUGAAUCAUCGAAUCUUUGAACGCACAUUGCGCCCGCCAGUAUUCUGGCGGGCAUGCCUGUCUGAGCGUCAUUUCAACCCUCAUGCCCCUAGGGCGUGGUGUUGGGGAUCGGCCAAAGCCCGCGAGGGACGGCCGGCCCCUAAAUCUAGUGGCGGACCCGUCGUGGCCUCCUCUGCGAAGUAGUGAUAUUCCGCAUCGGAGAGCGACGAGCCCCUGCCGUUAAACCCCCAACUUUCCAAGGUUGACCUCAGAUCAGGUAGGAAUACCCGCUGAACUUAAGCAUAUCAAUAAGCGGAGGA